GUCACAAAGAGGUAGGCUGCUCUAGGAGGAUCCACUGAGGAUGGGCCCUUUGAAAAGCUCUUGAUGUUUUAAUGUACCCCAUUUCAGAGCAGCAGGCGCCAUCUAGGUGCAGAGCGCUCCUCCAAGGUGACCAAUUCUGCCUGCCAGAGGCACUCUCGAGAGGUGACUGGCAGUGGGAAGAUAUUUGCUUUACCUGGUUUUCAGGCCGGUGUGUAUGUAUCAAUCUCUUCAGCAUCACGGUGCAAGCAUGCAUUCCUGCCAGUUCCCACCAAUGUAUACUUCUACUGUCACUUCACUGCCAAGGAAGAUGUGGCCCAGGCAGAGUGAGCUCUUUGCUCUGCUCUCUAGGCAAGUGCUUCUGGGGCUCCACAAGGGCAGCAGUGGCAGAGGGGCCUGGAGUGCACCCUGACUCUCCACAGUGACUACAGCAAAACACCUAGCUCUAUGGCUUUUUCAUUUCCUUAGUAAUGCCUAUUAAUUUUAUAAAAUAUUGGGUUUUCAAUGUGUG
rnacentral:lncRNA from 1 species